CAUUUCAGUUUGCUUGCAAACUGGAGAUGGCGACCGGCGCACGGGUGAGUAACACGUAUCCAACCUGCCGAUAACUCGGGGAUAGCCUUUCGAAAGAAAGAUUAAUGCCCGAUGGUUUCAAGGGAUUGCAUGGUAUCUUGAAUAAAGAUUCAUCGGUAUGCGAUGGGGAUGCGUUCCAUUAGGCAGUUGGUGAGGUAACGGCUCACCAAACCUUCGAUGGAUAGGGGUUCUGAGAGGAAGGUCCCCCACAUUGGAACUGAGACACGGUCCAAACUCC
rnacentral:rRNA from 1 species